UACGUAGGGUGCGAGCGUUGUCCGGAAUUAUUGGGCGUAAAGAGCUUGUAGGCGGUUUGUCGCGUCUGCCGUGAAAAUCCGGGGCUCAACCCCGGACUUGCGGUGGGUACGGGCAGACUAGAGUGUGGUAGGGGAGACUGGAAUUCCUGGUGUAGCGGUGAAAUGCGCAGAUAUCAGGAGGAACACCGGCGGCGAAGGCGGGUCUCUGGGCCGAUACUGACGCUGAGGAGCGAAAGCGUGGGGAGCGAACAGG
rnacentral:rRNA from 1 species